AGCCAUGUGGUGAGUACAAAGCGAACUAUUCUUUCGCCUUUUACUAAAGAAUACCGUGUGCUCGCCACUACAAGUGGCAUACGCUUAUUUUUGAAAGGUGACUUUCCUUUGGGGAAGGGU